rnacentral:lncRNA from 1 species
AUAGGAUAGGCUUCUUUAAAACACCAUUACCUAGUACAUUUUACAAACAACAUUAUUCAUAUUAAUAGCUAGGCUUCGACUAGAUAACAUAACUUACAUAUUUUAUCAACGUCUCUUUAUUUUAAGUAGGCUUCUUCAUAUCUUCAGCUAAUGUAAAUUAUUACCUACAUAAUUUCCUCCAAUCAAUCCUUAAAAACCUUAAACUACUAUAACGUUAUCCCUGCUGAGAAUGCCAGAUUUGCCUAAGAAGUUAUACAUAUUAUUCCGAUGGUCGCCCUCUAUUUGAACCACCCACCCAUACGUUUUGUCCCAUGCCACUUUACCAUUACAGCUAAACUCUUUUUUGAACUCUUUAAGGACUAGCUUCUCGGAGAUGUUUCUCUUCCACAAAUCCAACACUUUCGUCAGUCAUUCCUUUCCAUUCCUCUCCUGUUUGAUUAUGUACACAUACUUCUUUGGUCCCGGUUCACUCGUGUUGAAUGGAUCGACUAUAACCAUGCUCUUUAAUAUAACAAUAGAAACUCUUAUUCAAGAAAGAAUGUAAAAGACUAACCUUAA